CCCAUCUGAUCUCGGAAGCUAAGCAGGGUCGAGCCUGAUUAGUACCUGGAUGGGAGAUCACCUAGGAAGACCAGGUGCUGUAGGCA
rnacentral:rRNA from 1 species